UUUCUUCUCUCUCCUGAUGGAACUCAGGUGCAAGUUUCUGAACUUGAAGGCAAGGUCUUAGGCCUUUAUUUCUCAGCUAACUGGCACCCACCUUGUCGACACUUCACAGAGGUGCUAAUUAGUGCAUAUCAGCACUUAAACAGCAAUGGGUGUAAUUUUGAGGUUGUGUUUGUGUCAUCUGAUGAGGACUUAGAUGCCUUCAACACCUAUAGUGCAUUGAUGCCAUGGCUUUCCAUUCCAUUUUCUGAUUUGGA
rnacentral:misc_RNA from 1 species